rnacentral:tRNA from 1 species
AGCUCAGUUGGUAGAGCAUGGUGUUUGCAACGCCAGGGUUGUGGGUUCGAUUUCCAC